rnacentral:rRNA from 1 species
UACGGAGGGUGCAAGCGUUUAUCCGGAUUCACUGGGUUUAAAGGGUGCGUAGGCGGAUUAGAAAGUCCGUUGUGAAAUCUCUGAGCUUAACUCGGAAAUUGCGGUGGAUACUAUUAGUCUUGAAUACUGUGGAGGUUAGCGGAAUAUGUCAUGUAGCGGUGAAAUGCAUAGAUAUGACAUAGAACACCAAUUGCGAAGGCAGCUGGCUACACAGAUAUUGACGCUGAGGCACGAAAGCGUGGGGAUCAAACAGG